AGAGUUUGAUCCUGGCUCAGACGAACGCUGGCGGCAUGCCUAACACAUGCAAGUCGAACGAGACCUUCGGGUCUAGUGGCGCACGGGUGCGUAACGCGUGGGAAUCUGCCCAGGGGUUCGGAAUAACUCAGGGAAACUUGAGCUAAUACCGAAUGAUGCCGCAAGGCCAAAGAUUUAUCGCCCGUGGAUGAGCCCGCGUCCGAUUAGCUAGUUGGUGGGGUAAAGGCCUACCAAGGCGACGAUCGGUAGCUGGUCUGAGAGGAUGAUCAGCCACACUGGGACUGAGACACGGCCCACCACUCCUACGGGAGGCAGCAGUGGGGAAUAUUGGACAAUGGGCGAAAGCCUGAUCCAGCAAUGCCGCGUGAGUGAAGAAGGCCUUCGGGUUGUAAAGCUCUUUUGCCCGGGACGAUAAUGACGGUACCGGGAGAAUAAGCCCCGGCUAACUCCGUGCCAGCAGCCGCGGUAAUACGGAGGGGGCUAGCGUUGUUCGGAAUUACUGGGCGUAAAGCGCACGUAAGCGGCCACUCAAGUCACAGGUGA
rnacentral:rRNA from 1 species